rnacentral:lncRNA from 1 species
AACCGUCGGUAGUAGCCGGCCAAACCAAUGAAGCUCCGUAUCUGUAGCAUACCGGAUUUUUUUUUAAUAAAGGUGAAUAUAGUGUGAGAUACUAUUUUUAUUAGAUUUAGACAAGUAAAUUAUAUGUCAGGAUUGACUCGUGCAGAAAUCGGAGUGAAAAUAGAAGAUUGAGAAAUUUCUAUGAGAGACGGGGCUGAUAUUUUAGCAGAAAAUGCACAGUGUCAGAAAAUUCCGAAAAUUUGCGAAUAUGUUAGGAUUAUUUUUAUGAGGCUAGAUUUAAAGUUUCAUGCCUUUCUGACAGCCGGAAGGUGGAGAAUAAAAUCCGACAGUUAUCUGAUAAAGAUUACAGUUCGGUACAGCUUUCGGUGACCAAACGGGGUCGAAACUGAAAGAUUAAAAUUUCUUUUGUUAAGUAAAGUUAAACUGAGUAUGACUGCCAAAUUUGAG